UUCAAAUGCUAGAGUCCCCGAUUCUGACCUUUUCAUAAAGAAAACAAACAAAAAUUAGAAUUUUUCACCAAUUCCUGGCAACGGCGCCAAAAUUUAGUGGGCGUCGAAACCACCAAAUAUAAAUUCCUACGAAAAAAUAAUAGUAAAUGACAAUAUAGAAUAGUAGGGUCGAAUCCACAGGGACUGGUUAUCUAAUUUUACCUUUUCUUGUGACCAGAUUCGCUAUCACGGUCACAGUUGUGC
rnacentral:lncRNA from 1 species